GACGAACCGAGCGACCGUUGUUCGGAAUCACUGGGCUUAAAGGGCGCGUAGGCGGGCUGUCAAGUCUGGGGUGAAAUCCCGCGGCUCAACCGUGGAACUGCCUCAGAUACUGACGGUCUCGAGGGAGGUAGGGGCGAGCGGAACUGAUGGUGGAGCGGUGAAAUGCGUUGAUAUCAUCAGGAACUCCGGUGGCGAAGGCGGCUCGCUGGACCUUUUCUGACGCUGAGGCGCGAAAGCGUGGGGAGCGAACAGG
rnacentral:rRNA from 1 species